GACGAACGCUGGCGGCGUGCUUAACACACGCAAGUCGAACGGAAAGGCCCUGCUUUUGUGGGGUGCUCGAGUGGCGAACGGGUGAGUAACACGUGAGUAACCUGCCCUUGACUUUGGGAUAACUUCAGGAAACUGGGGCUAAUACCGGAUAGGAGCUCCUGCUGCAUGGUGGGGGUUGGAAAGUUUCGGCGGUUGGGGAUGGACUCGCGGCUUAUCAGCUUGUUGGUGGGGUAGUGGCUUACCAAGGCUUUGACGGGUAGCCGGCCUGAGAGGGUGACCGGCCACAUUGGGACUGAGAUACGGCCCAGACUCCUACGGGAGGCAGCAGUGGGGAAUAUUGCACAAUGGGCGGAAGCCUGAUGCAGCAACGCCGCGUGCGGGAUGACGGCCUUCGGGUUGUAAACCGCUUUCGCCUGUGACGAAGCGUGAGUGACGGUAAUGUGUAAAGAAGCACCGGCUAACUACGUG
rnacentral:rRNA from 1 species